UUUCGUAAAGUCUGCUGUUAUAAUGGAAUUUUUUGAUGUUCCGUCUCGUUGCGUGUAUUGUCAAUCGACCUGCACGGAGCCGUUAGUUUGACUCUUUGGUAAUUGGUGUGGAGUAUCUGUAAGAUAAGGCUCUGCGUCCGGUUUCAUCGCUUGGACGUAACUUCCGUUCUUCGUGUUGGUGACGGCGUGUUGGGCGAUAGGAAGAAAAGAUGUCGGCCCACAAAACUUUCAUCAUUAAAAGGAAGCUUGCGAAAAAGCUGAAACAAAAUAGACCUAUUCCACAGUGGGUGAGGAUGCGAACAGAUAAUACCAUACGGUA